AGAGAAAAGACCAUGUGAAGAUAUAGGGAGAAGAUGGCCAUCUACAAGCCAACGAGAGAGGCUUCGGGAGAAACCAACACUGCUGACACAUUGAUCUUGGACUUCUAGCCUCCAGAACUAUAGUUGCACUGGAACUUGUUUUGAAGUUUUUAUGAUGAAAUUUUAGAUUCUCAUCACAGAGAACUGAAGAUUUCAAAAGCGAGGUUCAGAGAGCCCCAAGAUCACUUGGAAGCCUCAAGAGGAAUUUCAGGAAAUUGUACCAAAUAUGAACCCUAAGUUACUAUGGAGUGGAGUUUGGUAUUCGGUGGAUCAGAACAUUCAGAGGGGUCUAUUACCAAUGCAAGGAGAGUGGAAAGAACUCUGCGUCCUGAGUCAGAUGGGGCCCAGGCCCCAGCUCUGGAGCUAUAGAUCCUGAGGCGAAUCAGGUCACCAAGCCCUGCCCUCAUCCCUAAAGUAGAAGUGAUAGCCACUGUUCCACCUUCCUCACUGGAGCUUGGAAGAGCCAAUGAGAUAACAGAUGUGAAAACGUUUUAGAACUUGUAAAGCAUGCACUGUUCUCAAUGUGUCCCUAGGGACAGAGUGACCAAGCAGAUCCUUUGGAGCAUGGGGGUGGAGGGCAACCCCGGGGUACUGUGCCUCCCUGCUCAAGAGCUAAGAAAUAUAGGAAAUUAACCUUCUGAGAGUCAAACCAGUGGUUCCCAACUUUUUCCUGUAUAAGCCCUCCUUUUUAUCAUCAAAAUCUUCCCCAGACCCGCUCCCACAUGAUAAUGUUUGUACUUACAGUAUUUGUCGAUUAAGAAAAUACAUACUGACCAAAAGCUAUUAUGAGUUAUGUCCACGGUUUAAUUGUAUUAAUUGCUACAUUUUAUUAAUAAUUUUGACAAAUACUGGUACUAGAUUAAAGCAAACUGUGUUAGUUAUUCAACCACCAAACACUCACAGAUUAGUUGGCUUCUCAAAAGAAUUCCCUCUGCUCUCAAAUCAGGAAAUCCUGCAUUGAACAGUGAAACGUAAACAUAAUGAACAGGUCAGAGGCAAGUAAUACAAUCAUCUUAAGUGGACUCUGGCCCCAGGCUGAAGUCAGACUUUACCGAUGACAUUAACGUAUCCAAAGAAACAAGGUGUUGUUUACAAGAAGACCUGAUUGCCAGUGGAAGCCAGAGGAGGUAGCUCCACUCAGAUGAGCACUGACAGCGCCCUCCCAGCCCUGCCCGGGAAGAUGUGCACUGACCUAGAGACUCAGUCUCAGGUCCUGGUGGAACAACUCCUUCUGUUCCACUCCAGGCUCAACUGAGUAUUCUUGCUGCCAGCUGAGAGCAACCAGACAUCCU